CCCUUAGAUGUUCUGGGCCGCACGCGCGCUACACUGAUGCGUUCAACAAGUUUCCUUGGCCGAGAGGCCUGGGCAAUCUUCUUAAUAUGUACCGUGAUAGGGAUAGAUUAUUGCAAUUAUUAAUCUUGAACGAGGAAUUCCUAGUAAACGCAGAUCAUCAAUCUGCAUUGAUUACGUCCCUGCCCUUUGUACACACCGCCCGUCGCACCUACCGAUUGGAUGUUCCGGUGAAGCCUCGGGAUGAGGACUGGUGCCUUUAUUGGCAUGAGUUGUUCAGAACUUGUCUAAACCUUAUCAUCUAGAGGAAGGUGAAGUCGUAACA
rnacentral:rRNA from 1 species